rnacentral:rRNA from 1 species
AUUGAACGCUGGCAGCAUGCCUUACACAUGCAAGUCGAACGGUAACAGGUCUUCGGAUGCUGACGAGUGGCGAACGGGUGAGUAAUACAUCGGAACGUGCCUAGUAGUGGGGGAUAACUACUCGAAAGAGUGGCUAUACCGCAUGAGAUCUACGGAUGAAAGCAGGGGAUCGCAAGACCUUGUGCUACUAGAGCGGCCGAUGGCAGAUUAGGUAGUUGGUGGGAUAAAAGCUUACCAAGCCGACGAUCUGUAGCUGGUCUGAGAGGACGAUCAGCCACACUGGGACUGGGACACGGCCCAGACUCCUACGGGAGGCAGCAGUGGGGAAUUUUGGACAAUGGGCGCAAGCCUGAUCCAGCAAUGCCGCGUGCAGGAUGAAGGCCUUCGGGUUGUAAACUGCUUUUGUACGGAACGAAAAGCCCCGGGUUAAUACCCUGGGGUCAUGACGGUACCGUAAGAAUAAGCACCGGCUAACUACGUGCCAGCCGCCGCCGUAA